CAAUGCAGCCAGGCAUCCUAUUAAAGUCAGCUGGAAGCGGAGCGUCACCCACUCCUUUCUGUAAAACAUAUUACCUUGCUCUCUGUGACCAGAAAAGAGCAAGACACACCAAUAAAGCAUGGGGACAUUACAUGAUGACCGCUUCUGUGACCGCCCCUUGCCACACACACACACUCACUGUCUACAGAUGUGCACAUUUGUGGUGAAAGGAUGUUAUCAGUUUAUUACAGGAGGAUCCAGUGCUGUAUGGCAUACCGUAAAUUCUCGCAGCUCAGUUAAUCAAAGGCGGUGAUUCUGGGACACUGAAUCAUGUAGGAGCAAAGGCCUAGGAGCCGGUCAGUAAACCUGCACAAUCAACUCCGCACCACAUCCCCCAUCCGAAUAAAUAC